rnacentral:tRNA from 2 species
GUCCCUGUAGUUUAAUGGAUAAAAUUGCAGAUUCCGGUUCUGUUGAUAUGGGUUCGACUCCCUUCGGGGACACAA